rnacentral:rRNA from 1 species
CGGAAACAGCCCAAACCAAGGGGCUUGCCCCUUGGGGUUGUAGGACACUCUACACGGAGUUACAAAGAAACGAAGUAGACGAAGCGAUCUGUGAAAAUGGGCUCG